GACGAACGCUGGCGGCGUGCUUAACACAUGCAAGUCGAACGGAAAGGCCCUGCUUUUGUGGGGUGCUCGAGUGGCGAACGGGGGAGUAACACGUGAGUAACCUGCCCUUGACUUUGGGAUAACUUCAGGAAACUGGGGCUAAUACCGGAUAGGAGCUCCUGCUGCAUGGUGGGGGUUGGAAAGUUUCGGCGGUUGGGGAUGGACUCGCGGCUUAUCAGCUUGUUGGUGGGGUAGUGGCUUACCAAGGCUUUGACGGGUAGCCGGCCUGAGAGGGUGACCGGCCACAUUGGGACUGAGAUACGGCCCAGACUCCAACGGGAGGCAGCAGUGGGGAAUAUUGCACAAUGGGCGGAAGCCUGAUGCAGCAACGCCGCGUGCGGGAUGACGGCCUUCGGGUUGUAAACCGCUUUCGCCUGUGACGAAGCGUGAGUGACGGUAAUGGGUAAAGAAGCACCGGCUAACUACGUG
rnacentral:rRNA from 1 species